AGCGAACGCUGGCGGCAGGCCUAACACAUGCAAGUCGAACGAUCCUUCGGGAUAGUGGCGGACGGGUGAGUAACACGUGGGAACGUGCCUUUUGGUUCGGAACAACUCAGGGAAACUUGAGCUAAUACCGGAUGUGCCCUUCGGGGGAAAGAUUUAUCGCCAUUAGAGCGGCCCGCGUCUGAUUAGCUAGUUGGUGGGGUAAAGGCCUACCAAGGCGACGAUCAGUAGCUGGUCUGAGAGGAUGAUCAGCCACAUUGGGACUGAGACACGGCCCAAACUCCUACGGGAGGCAGCAGUGGGGAAUCUUGCGCAAUGGGCGAAAGCCUGACGCAGCCAUGCCGCGUGAAUGAUGAAGGUCUUAGGAUUGUAAAAUUCUUUCACCGGGGACGAUAAUGACGGUACCCGGAGAAGAAGCCCCGGCUAACUUCGUGCCAGCAGCCGCCGUAA
rnacentral:rRNA from 1 species